rnacentral:rRNA from 1 species
AUCCCAGGAGCUUGCUCCUGGGUGAGAGUGGCGAACGGGUGAGUAAUGCGUGACCGACCUGCCCCAUACACCGGAAUAGCUCCUGGAAACGGGUGGUAAUGCCGGAUGCUCCGACAUGACGCAUGUCGUGUCGGGAAAGAUUCAUCGGUAUGGGAUGGGGUCGCGUCCUAUCAGCUUGAUGGCGGGGUAACGGCCCACCAUGGCUUCGACGGGUAGCCGGCCUGAGAGGGCGACCGGCCACAUUGGGACUGAGAUACGGCCCAGACUCC